GCUGCCCACCCAACAUGGUUUGAUGCAUGGAGAUCGGAUACAUCAGCAUCCGCAGGAACUAAAGUAGAAACCCGGGAAUACUUCUCCGGUCGGCCGUUAGCACUAGCCCCGUGUCUUGCCUUCACACCGUGCGGGUGCUCGAGUGAGCUCGUCUCUUUGUGAUCAGGAAAGCAAAGGAAACACACAGAGUGCUCAUCCUGAGAGGUUACAAUUGACCGGUGUCUCUGGGGGCUUUGAGAGUGUGACCGCAUAAACAAAUGCAGAGCACGGUGCAUUGUCAUCUUGCAGGGAGGUGCAUGUCAACUUAACCUCCCAGGACCUGGGGCCCGUUCUUCGUACCUCGCUAAGUAAGUUAGCUGGAUUUGAUUGUUG